GAUGAACGCUGGCGGCGUGCCUAAUACAUGCAAGUCGAGCGAACAGAUGAGGAGCUUGCUCCUCUGACGUUAGCGGCGGACGGGUGAGUAACACGUGGAUAACCUACCUAUAAGACUGGGAUAACUUCGGGAAACCGGAGCUAAUACCGGAUAAUAUAUUGAACCGCAUGGUUCAAUAGUGAAAGACGGUUUUGCUGUCACUUAUAGAUGGAUCCGCGCCGCAUUAGCUAGUUGGUAAGGUAACGGCUUACCAAGGCAACGAUGCGUAGCCGACCUGAGAGGGUGAUCGGCCACACUGGAACUGAGACACGGUCCAGACUCCUACGGGAGGCAGCAGUAGGGAAUCUUCCGCAAUGGGCGAAAGCCUGACGGAGCAACGCCGCGUGAGUGAUGAAGGUCUUCGGAUCGUAAAACUCUGUUAUUAGGGAAGAACAAAUGAGUAAGUAACUAUGCACGUCUUGACGGUACCUAAUCAGAAAGCCACGGCUAACUACGUG
rnacentral:rRNA from 1 species